rnacentral:tRNA from 1 species
GAAUGGGCUGGACAUCUUCAAGGACAAUGGAGAAUGCAUCGUGUUUGAAGCUAAUACAACACCUCCUGAUUGUUGUUGGUUAUAAAGAGGUGACCACAGCAUUUGAGUUUUGACAUCAGAGCAAGCAAAGUGGCAGCUUCAUCUCUUCUUCCCCCUUUCUUGAGUCCCCUCUCUUGUUCUCGUGUACAGUCAUGUGUGUGUGAAUGUAUUCACGAGGGCAUCCUUCACCUUUUCCCUCGAUCCCCUGCCACUGUGGAUGGAGCUUGGAACACCGGAAACGCUCGGCGGUAUUACUCAGGCUUGAAGGAAUUCGCGGGAAUUCGUUGAAUUAACCUUGCUUUAAGGGAAGCUCCUGUUGACGUGAAAAGAAAUGUCCGGCCAUAUUUGGUUCCCGUUUACCGAAUUGGUGGUCGAUUGAAGGCAAAGUGAUUCGUUUCACCAUCUUCUAGCGGUGUUUGGAAGGCGUUCUUAUAACGAAAUAGUUUUCACGUAUUCUGGAUGACAUGUCUAUGGAGGAACGUCGUGCGAAGUGCGUUAGCUUCAUAAACUUGCAUAAAUAAUUCUCAGUCGGUUCCACUGAUCUGCACACAAGUUUUUAAGAUCCUUAAUAGAGUCUCAGCCGUGGCCAGUGAGGUAAUAGAAGCAAGAAGCAUUCUACUCUUUUGCUAAAAAUUUUUAGUCGUUCGUUUUGACUGGCGCCUUUUAUUUUUUUACCUUCUAUCUUAUUUUGAGUCGCCUUCAUGUCCUUUUGCUUGUUUUCUGUCCAGCGUCUGUCCUGUCAGACUACGAAUACUUUGCGAUUCAUUUGUUGAUUUGUCGGGAUUUUAUCCGGAUUUGUAUCUCCCAUCCGGAUAUUUCAACCUGGGGCUAACUGUGAGAUAGUUGAAGAUAUUGUCAUGUUGUCCUGCCCCCAUGAAUCACGAUUUAUUCAGAUUUGCCACUAGAGUUUGUUACUAAGACCUUGCGCUUGUUUUUGAGCUUUCAAGUCCCCAAUAGUCUUCUCACAUUUCCUAUUUAUCGUUGCUAAUCCAAUAUCGUCAAUUGAUAUCUCAUACUAAAUCCGAGACAUUCAAUUGAUCUCUACCUGGUGUUGCGCAAGGGGCAUAGCUCAGUGGUAGAGCAUCCGACUGCAGAUCGUUAUGUCCCCGGUUCAAACCCGGGUGCCCCCUACGGUUCAGCAACAGCAUUCAGUGUUCCAGCACCUAUAAUCUGAAGGCAACUUCAUCUUCCAAGUUCCAAAAGCCUCAAAUGGCGUUUCUAUUCCCAGACGUGUACCUUUGUUAUAGUUAAAUGCAGAUGUCCAUCGCCAAAGUAUUUUUUUUUGUCAGGAUCGAUCUGGAAAUUCUAGAACUGGGUAAAGAAUGAUCAGUUUUCAUCUCGAAGCAAUUCAGACUGUGCGUUGCUGAUUGUUUGUACAUCUUCCGGGUAGUGGCCUAGUGGGAACUAUAUGUCGGCUCUGGAGGUCAGCAAUAACAAAAAGUUGGUCGCUUCUUUUUUUGCUUCCAAACUGGCAACUUUUGCUCUGAAAAAUCUUUCGGUUUCCUGUUUGAAAAACUAAUUUGAACUCUCCCCGUGGUAUAUCUGUUUGUUCAAGUCGACCUUAAGCCAAAACCAACGAACGUGGCCCACCACGGAUUUCUUUUAAAUUGUGGUUUCAGAUUCCUGCAAUAGUCGUCGGUUUCCAACGCUAAUUCCUUGAAAACUGUCGAUGGCCUCUGUUAACUACGUGCAAACAGUCUGCUGAAUCAGUCACCGUCAUUAUUUAUUCAACAGUGUAGUUUUCAGAAAUUGCAGCUCUUUGGGUGGGCAUGUUUGAAAGAAGGAAAACAAAAUGUUAUCAUUUGGUUUUCCCAACAUUUAAGAACCACGCAGUGCACUCUUGAACUAGAAAGCGUCACUCGUUCGGAAGAUAAUUGGCGCGACGACGAAAUUGAGUAAAGCAAAUUUGAAAAUGGUUGUUAAAAAUGUCCAGCGUGGUGGCAGUCACGACGUAUUUCCCCGAGAAAUCGAUGCUCUUGCAUUCUUACUACGUGUCGACUAGUUAAUUUAUCUUAUCUGUCGAGUUUGUCUUGACUUUUUAUGACCGUUGACAUUCCACCCACCGCAUGUGCCAGUGUCGUUGAUUUCGUUAUUCGUUUCGUCUUUUUCGUUCAAAGUUAUUUGUUUACAUGCAACUGAGGCGGAUUUCAGUGGAAUUCGGUUCAAAAUGAUAAGCUGUCUGUUGAUGGGUUUCAGUAGUCGUUGCAGAAGGAUCGCAAUAAGUAUUCUUCUCUCCAUUCAACAUCAUCAUUUGAAUUUUAUUCACUAGACAAUUUCAAUUCCACUUGGUUUGUUCAACAUUUUUCUGCUAAACGAUGACGAACUUAUUACCGUUAACGGCUGGUGCGUUUGUCGUCGUCUUUCUGCUGUCGGGGACAGGUAACGCACAGAUCCACUUUGCAGGAAGAUCGAGCAGGAUCGAAUUGCCUUCCGUGCCGUUCACAGACGACUAUUUGAAAAAAUCGCCAAUGAUCUUCCACGCCAUCGAGAUACUCUACGUGCCUCUAUGGGAAUUGCGCUGGCAAUUUUCGGAAGCGUCAAAGAAAAACGCAAGAAAUACCCAAAACGCUAGAAAUCCCAACGAAAAAUUUCUCGAUCUUUGCGGCGCCUUGAAUUUCUUCAAGGCGGAACAGAGUUAUACAAAUAGGAAUUUGCCGGAGAAUUUCAAGAAAAUGAAAGAUCUAUCCAAAGCUUUUAUUCAAAUGUACCACAUGCGCACCGAAGUUUCCCAUCAGAGUUACUCGGUGGGAUGUUUCGAGUCGGACGCCAAGGCCCUAAUUGACGUGGCGAAAUACCUGGACAACUUGAUUGGCGGAAAGAGCGGUCGGAUUACCGGGACUGAAACGAGCGUAGAAUCUUCCACAACAAGAAGAGGUAUUGGCGAACGAACCAGAGCGGACGGUGGAUCUCGCGGUAGAAGUCCAAGUCCAAUUGGCAGAUCAAGAAGCCGAACUACUAGCACUGAAUCUGAACCUCUUUUGAGAAGUCAAGACAGUCUUUCUAAUAGUCCUACUAUUGAGAAUAAAAUCUUGGUGGCUCUUGGCAAACGAGACAGCAGGUCAUUCGGUCGAAUCGAUGACAAAUGCUCCGGUCGCUCGUCUAAAAUCGCUGAAUGUGCUAUUGAUUCUUCUCCUUCAAACAGUGGUCGUCCAAUGAUUGGUUGACAACGCCGACCGAACCGAUUCAUUUCGCUGUGUUUAAGUUGAGUGUCUAUUUUUUUUGGGGACGCUGUUGUGUUACUUUGUUGUUUUGCUAUGUCGGCUGGAUGAUGUUUGCUUAAAAUUCCCCAAUAAAUUUGCAUUUCUUGAACUAUUUAGAAAAUGAUUAUUUGCUUUGGUAAGAAAAAUGGUGGGCGACGAAAAUUGGAAACCAACAGCCAAGCAAAUUUGAAAAUGGUGAUGUUAAUGUCCAGCUCGGUCUUACGUCGUACGUAUUUCCCCUUAGAAAUCGAUCAGACUGAUGCUCUUGUUGUUUUAUUGCGACCUGUCAAUUUAUCUUAUCUCUGUUCAGUUUGUCUUGACUACUAUGUAUGACCUUUGCCAUUUCACCCACCGCUGUUGGGUCGUUUCUUUUUCUUUUGCAUUCGUUUCGCCUUUCACAUUCAGAGUGAUUGGGUCACAUGCAAUAACUGAGGCGGAUUUCAGUUCAAUUUCGGUGGUCGUUUGAGACGGUUCGCAGUAAAUAGUCCGGAACAGCAUCGUCAUAGAAAUAUUGACUCGGUCUUUCCGAUUUUACUUAGUAGUUACUUUUCGUCCAGAACGAUGAAAAACUUAUUAACGUUAACGGCUGGUGCGUUUGUCGUUGUCUUUCUGCUGGCGGGGACAGAUGUGUGGCCUUGCCGUACUCACGCAGCGACCCUGUUAAACAACCGUGGCGACAAAACUAAUCUAACGCUGGGAAUUGUUCAAGAAAAUGAGCUGUUUAGACAGAAACGCCAAUCCCCCGGAGAACCUGCUGGCCGGAAAUCGCCCCGUGAAUGGUACACUGAAGAAUAUUCGUUGAAAACUCGCAAGAUCUUUCACGCUCACCAGAUCCUCUACGGGCCUCUGUGGCAAUUGCACGUGAAGAUUCUGAAUCCGAAUCCACAGCAGAAUGAGAAUGACGUCGUUUCUUUAGAUCUCAGCAAAGUCUUGUACCCCUUUACAGGUUUUAAAACCCCCCAAAUCUCUCUGCCAGAUAAUUUGAAAAAGGGUUUCCCUGGACCCGAACGCUUCAGCCAAAUGUACGUUAUGCGCAUCGAGAUUUCCCAUCAGAGUUACUCGGUGAAAUGUUUCGAGUCGGACAAGAAAGUCCUGAUUGCCCUGGCGGAAUACUUGGACGGCGUCAAUAGCCAAAAGAGCGCUGCUAAAUCCAGCGGAACUGGGCGGUGCGACUGUCUAAGAAUCGUGGUUAAAAGAAUUCUUUGCUGCAUCGAAAAUCUUAGAAAUAGGAAGACGUUGAAAUCAGCCAUCACCUCGGCUCUGGACUAUAAAUCAAGUCCAUCCACACCGAGUGCAAGUGAUAACCAGUGUGCGGUCAAAGAUUCCCUCGAUAAAAUCAGGAAAAUUUUCUAAACUGAAUGCGAACAGGGCGCACAGUGGCGGACAACAAAUCCCGACUAUGCAUUUACAAUACAUUUAAACCGGAAAUGACAAACUAUAAUGGGAUUCAAUUUCACUUCAUUGUUGUCGUUGAUUCAUAUUUUUGUUUUUGUACAAAACGAAUAUAGCGCCGUUUUGCCAUCAGCAUUUUUUAUUAUUUGUUUUGUUUUAUUUUGUUUUUUAAAUUAUUAUUUAGAAAUGUCUAAUUUUAUCCAAAUAACCCUAACAGUCUAACACCAAUCUCAGACGUCGAGAUUUGUAAGGUUUCAUAGUUCAGAAAUUUUGGUUUCACUAAAUUUUGUUUUUAAGAAUUUUUCCCUUUUAUUAAUUGACCGCAGUUAAAGACAACCCAAACGCCAAAGCCAUUCGGAAAUAAUUGUCCUGUUAAAAAUAUAAACCAUUGGAGAAAUAAUAUCACAAGGUUUCUCUCGUACAGGCUCGGUCAUAAUCAGCUGAUUUUCCAUGACAGAUUGCGUCAGACUCUGUGACUUGCCCAAGAACCGUGCUGAGAAAAAACAACAGCAUGUUAAUGCGCCCUUCAAGGUUAGAACAUUCCUCCAUGAUAAUCGGGCAAAAGACGGUAUACAGUAUAUGCUACCAUAUUAUACUGUCCAUCCAGCAGCAGCUAAUACUGUUCUUCUCCCAACCGCAUAAUCAUAACGGUGUGCUGGCCGGACGCGGUAAUAAAUUAAGGCUAGCCGCAUGCUCCAAAUGAGAUGGGCCAUGGAAUCAUUUGGAAAUGUGCGUUUCCGGGUAGGGCAUCAGCAGUGAUGAUCCAACCGGCAACAUGAAGAGAACCUUAAUCACCUUCUCGCUGACUUUGGCCACCGUUUUCGCUUAUUAUUCCACUCCGGAUGCGGAAGAAGAAGAUGGCAACACGGGUAAUAGCGUCGUCGGAUAUUACGACAGCGAAAGCGGAACGCUAAACAAUCCAGCGUUGGUCCACAUCGGCACUCCGGAUGAACAAAAUUCCGGAAACGACAAGAACAACAACAACUACGACGUGCCGAUCAACAUUUAUUAUCACUACCAGCAUCCGGACAGUGAAUUAACUGACGAACGGGCGCCGGGUGUUCCGGCAUCCGCCCACGAAAUCAAUCCGACUCACAUCAAUUUUCUCAUCCGCUUUUUCCGCUCCUUUGCCGCUUUGCCAGCCAUUUUCCGCCAUCGGUUUCUCUGCAAUUUCUCACCUUCAGUUUCUCUGGACAAUUUAAAUUGUUUCACAAGUUUGGAAUAACAUCAUUUUUAGACAACAGGAAGAGAAAUUAGUUAUCUCCUUUUGUUUGUUGAGUCGGCAGCAGCUCCAGUGGCGCAGUUGGUUAGCGCAUGGUACUUAUACGACAGUAUACAUGGUUAAAACAAUGUCAAAAUUACCUGAAGAAAUAAAUUCGAGAGAUGCCGAGGUCGCGAGUUCGAGCCUCGCCUGGAGCAAUUAAUUUUACUAAAUAAUUCUGUUAACAAUUUUGAAUCGAAAUUUUUAUUUCAGUAUUUGAUUUGGAUCACGUGGACUGGCACGGGUGGAAUGAAAGACACUUGUUGAUUUACGUAAUCAACAGCACACAGGGCUGUCGCUAGUCACGUGGAGGGAAAUGUGAUUGAUAAUCUAUACUUUUGGUUUUUUGAUUAAAAAGUAACUGUCGUUGCCAGGCAACUAAAGUAAGUCGAUCGAUAAGGUGAGUCGUUUUUACAUAACAGCGUCACGUAGGGCAUGGCAAGAGAGUUGAUCAUAUAACGACUGUGUUGAUCCAUAUCGGACCAUGUCUUUGAACGAACCACGUAGGCAGAUGCUAACGAACAAAGUCCAAUCUUUUAAAAUGGGGCCCGUGUUACAUUGUGGCCGAUUAUUUCAGGUAUAAAACCGUCCAUUUUGUCCAGACCCGCCUCAUUCAGUCUUCUCACACAGACCGACAUUUAAAAAAUGAACAAAGCUUCCGGCAUUCUCAUCGCUCUUUUCGCUGUUUUGGGUGGCACUUUUGCUGCUUGUAACCAGGGCUACUCUCAAAUCGGAGACAAAUGCUACACGGUGCCUGGCUUGCCCCAACGAUUUAACUAUUGGAGCUCCAACGAAUUGUGCAGCGUCGCCAAAGGCGAUCUUUUCCACGUCCAAAACAUUACCCAAUGGGAGGAUCUCAACACUUUCCUGGUUGGACUCGGUUACUACGACACCUACUGGACCGGAGUUGCUGCCGAAGGACACCCUGGUCUAUGGGUUGUUCGGUCGACCGGAUUUGAGUUGAUCCCGGAAGCUGUUGAAUUCAAAGAAGGAUCUCCCAGCAACUCGGCUACCAACUUGUGCUUGGCCAUCGAAUACCAGGCCGAUCUUGGACGCUACCAGUGGGUCGACUACCCCUGCAGCGACGAGUACGUCAUCGUUUGCGAAUACAGAACUUGCAAUUAAAAAUGUUUUUUAAAAUAUUUCAACGAUAACGUGGGAUAAUAAGCCCCCCCCCCUUUUGUUGUUUUGUACACGAGUGUUUCUUAUAAAACGAAUGUCCAAGGCCAAUAAAUAAUUCCAAUCGAA